AAAGGUCACAUUACACUAACAAGACUGCCCUCCAUCCGGACUGACAGAACCCAGCUGUUGGGUUUUAGCCAGGGUCUUCCUGUGCCUUAGAGAGAUCUACACAGAGAAGAUGUGUCUGAAACAAGCAAAACACUCUGGAUAUGCAUUCUCGUGGCUCUUUCCGAUUGUUCUUUUCCAGGAGGCAGCAAUGAAGAACUUGAAAAGGCAAACCCCUCUCCCUCCAAUCCUCUUCCAUACCAAACCAUGAAGAUCUAGGAAACCUUCUGCUGCUGCUUUCCAAGCAACACCAUUUUAUUUUCAUAGAACCUGGUCUAAAAGGCAAGAUAAGAAUUUCUAUAACUCAGUUAACAGGUAAGAACAUGGCAAGAAUCCUAAUUUUUAUCACUACCAUUUAUAUAGUACUCAAAACAGACAUUUGGUUUUCUAAAUUGUGUCCAAACUAAGCUAGCGAUGAAACUUUAAAUGUACCAGGAAAGCAAGUACGGGAUCUAACUGCAAAAUUUGUGUCAGUGCAACACAGGAAAUUGUGAAAUGAAGUUUCAAAUUAGCAAGUAAAACAAAGACACUUUGCAAAGGGGGCUAGGAGAAAUUGUACUAAUUGUUAAACAUGUACAAGGAACAAGAGGUCAGCAGGGGAACUAGGAGGCUCACUAUGAAAUGACAGGAGAAGCACUGUAGAAAGCAAGAGAAAUUAAACUACUAAGGAGGAUGUGGGGCCGUGCCAGAGAAAGACAUAAAUUUCCCCAAGGAAGAGGAGAUACUAAACAAGAUCAAGAUCACAAUGAUCAGAUGAAAUGAGAAAUUCUACAACCUGACACAAUUCCAAGAGGAGAUGCAAUGUAGAAGACAUGCCAGACCAAAUAUUUUCCUGCAUGAUACCAUUAACUCCUUUGAGUUGUAGAGUCCUGGAAUUGGAGUAAGAGCAAAAAAAAAAAAAAAAACA
rnacentral:lncRNA from 1 species